UUGGAAGGGUAAUGUUGCAAAUGUUUUCAGCACAAUUCGAGCUAACAGGAUAACUGACGAUGGCUCGCAGGCAGUGCAAGGCUUAGUUAUUCGUUAGAAAAUUCUUGGUUAUGUAGGUUCAUGGCUGACUUAUGAAAGCUUGAAGUAGUAUUUAUGAUUCCCAAUUAUUUUCCCUUUGGACUUUGGAUCCAAAUGUUUUGGAAAUUUUGACAGGAAAAAGGUCUCUUGUUAUUUACAAAUCUUAUGAUUAUACGCUUGGUAAAUGUUGAAUGACUGCUUAUAUAUCAUCAGCAACUUCUGUUGCGUUUGACAGGAAAA
rnacentral:lncRNA from 1 species